GAGUGGCGAACUGGUGAGUAACACGUGGGAAACCUGCCCAGAAGCGGGGGAUAACACCUGGAAACAGAUGCUAAUACCGCAUAACAACUUGGACCGCAUGGUCCGAGUUUGAAAGAUGGCUUCGGCUAUCACUUUUGGAUGGUCCCGCGGCGUAUUAGCUAGAUGGUGGGGUAACGGCUCACCAUGGCAAUGAUACGUAGCCGACCUGAGAGGGUAAUCGGCCACAUUGGGACUGAGACACGGCCCAAACUCCUACGGGAGGCAGCAGUAGGGAAUCUUCCACAAUGGACGAAAGUCUGAUGGAGCAACGCCGCGUGAGUGAAGAAGGGUUUCGGCUCGUAAAACUCUGUUGUUAAAGAAGAACAUAUCUGAGAGUAACUGUUCAGGUAUUGACGGUAUUUAACCAGAAAGCCACGGCUAACUACGUGCCAGCAGCCGCGGUAAUACGUAGGUGGCAAGCGUUGUCCGGAUUUAUUGGGCGUAAAGCGAGCGCAGGCGGUUUUUUAAGUCUGAUGUGAAAGCCUUCGGCUCAACCGAAGAAGUGCAUCGGAAACUGGGAAACUUGAGUGCAGAAGAGGACAGUGGAACUCCAUGUGUAGCGGUGAAAUGCGUAGAUAUAUGGAAGAACACCAGUGGCGAAGGCGGCUGUCUGGUCUGUAACUGACGCUGAGGCUCGAAAGUAUGGGUAGCAAACAGGAUUAGAUACCCUGGUAGUCCAUACCGUAAACGAUGAAUGCUAAGUGUUGGAGGGUUUCCGCCCUUCAGUGCUGCAGCUAACGCAUUAAGCAUUCCGCCUGGGGAGUACGGCCGCAAGGCUGAAACUCAAAGGAAUUGACGGGGGCCCGCACAAGCGGUGGAGCAUGUGGUUUAAUUCGAAGCUACGCGAAGAACCUUACCAGGUCUUGACAUACUAUGCAAAUCUAAGAGAUUAGACGUUCCCUUCGGGGACAUGGAUACAGGUGGUGCAUGGUUGUCGUCAGCUCGUGUCGUGAGAUGUUGGGUUAAGUCCCGCAACGAGCGCAACCCUUAUUAUCAGUUGCCAGCAUUAAGUUGGGCACUCUGGUGAGACUGCCGGUGACAAACCGGAGGAAGGUGGGGAUGACGUCAAAUCAUCAUGCCCCUUAUGACCUGGGCUACACACGUGCUACAAUGGAUGGUACAACGAGUUGCGAACUCGCGAGAGUAAGCUAAUCUCUUAAAGCCAUUCUCAGUUCGGAUUGUAGGCUGCAACUCGCCUACAUGAAGUCGGAAUCGCUAGUAAUCGCGGAUCAGCAUGCCGCGGUGAAUACGUUCCCGGGCCUUGUACACACCGCCCGUCACACCAUGAGAGUUUGUAACACCCAAAGUCGGUGGGGUAACCUUUUAGGAACCAGCCGCC
rnacentral:rRNA from 1 species